AACGCACAUUGCGCCCCUUGGUAUUCCGGGGGGCAUGCCCGUUCGAGCGUCAUUACACCACUCAAGCCUGGCUUGGUGUUGGGCCCCGGGGGUGACCCGGGCCCCAAAGUCGUCGGCUGGAAACCCCUGAUCGCAGCGUCGUGAUUCAUCAAAUUCGCUGAGGUGACGGGGGGUCCGCGCCGUGAAACCCAUCAAAGGUUGACCUCGGAUCGGGUAGGGAUACCCGCUGAACUUAA
rnacentral:misc_RNA from 1 species